UGCAGUCUCUUCUCCAUUGCUCACGCAUGCAUACAUAGUGGCCAUGGAGCCUUGUGAUGAAGUACUCACCUUAUCCUGGAAAUGGAAGUCAGGUGGUGUGAAUGGCACCAUUUUUUAAAUUCUCCAUAUCACUUCUUUAUUACCUGAAGGUUUCUAGACAUCUGUACUGCACUGAGUUUAAUUGUGCGUCAUUGUCCGAUUGUAUUCCAUUUACUGCUUUGUUCUGCGUCAUUCUUAAUAGUUCAGAUCAGCUUCAGUGUGGCCUGGGUGCCUGGUUUCUCCCGGUGCUGCACCUGACACUCGUGCUUUCCUGUUGCAGGGUGACCUGAAGGCUUACCUGCACAAUGAACAAGAGCACGUGCGCAGCGAGUCACAGACCAUGCUGCUGCAGAGGAUGGCGUGCGAGAUUGCCGCAGGGCUGGCAGCCAUGCACAAGCUGCACUUCCUGCACAGUGAUCUGGCCCUACGGAACUGUUAUCUCACCUCCGACCUAAACGUCAAAGUGGGUGACUAUGGGAUAGGCUUCAGCAGAUACAAGG
rnacentral:lncRNA from 1 species